GUGCACUGGCGGAAGCGGGGGAGGGCGGGGAACGCCAGGCCUAAAGCGCCUCGUGGGUUUAGAGAACUCAGAGAGGGCACGGAGUGGGGGUGGGGGGAACGCUGAACCCGUAGCUAAAUGUUUGGCCUUUGGCUAUUUUUUAAGGAAAACGGAUCUCAGGGAGGUCGGGGCGCAGUGGAUGGGGGCAGCAUAGCGCCCCGGAGAGGGAGACGGGCUCCCCUCUGCUUUCUGGGAAAAGCCUUGUCUCCUUUCUUUCCCCUUCCCCCAUCCUGCAGAGGGUUUUGCCUUGACCGAUCUCUCUGCUCCGGACCCGGAGGAGGACGGAGCCGCAGGAGACUGACCACGACCCGGAGCCGGCCCAGGGGUCGCGUUGCUGCCGGCCUGCGCUUCCGCACUCCCGGGUUCGGUGCGUCGCCUUUCGCGGCAGCACCUCGCUUCCUCCAGACUGUAAUUCCACUCUCCCGCAAGCGCCGGGACUGCGGAAUCGUUUGAGGGAGUUGGAACUGCAUCAGAUGAGCACGCCGGGAGACACGAAAAUUGGACACGUGGAGAAUUAGCCCUGCUGGAGAAGCGCUGGGUGCAGACUCAAACAAUGGUUUCCAGGGCCGAAGCUGAGGCAGCACCUUCCCCACCCCCACCCUCAAAUGGCAGCUGCCUCUAUAUCCAACGGGCACACCCCUUCACUGCCCACCCCUCCCCCACAGCCUGGGAAGGGACCUAGGUGGGCUACACCCUCCGGAGUUCCUUGCCCCGACACAAACCCUAGGUGGGCCUGGGCUGCCCGCUAAGUAGGUCACUGCCUGGGGUCCCCUGGGAUUUAGAAGUACAGGGCUAUUUUUCCCUGGAAAGGUUCUGUCUCAAAGACACCACCUCCCAAAAAUGAAUGUUUAAAAACCCAUCCAGGCUCCAGGUUGCAUCCUUUGGCAAAUGUAUCUUUCCUAGGGCAUACUUUCCUGAGCUGCUGGGACCUUGCCCCCCAUCUGAUGAGCCAUAACCCAGGUGGCUGGGCCUCUUCAGAGCAGCUUCUUUUAGCUAUUGUCUUCUCCAGAGGCCUUAUCCUCCACGGCAGCCCCCACCUUAGACCCCCAGCCUCUCUGAGCCCCCACACCACCCCCACCCUGCGCUGAGCUGGCAGCAGCCACAGCUCCCCCAGGCAGUUCCUCUCUCGCUGAGCGGCCUGUGCAUCUCGCUGGGGCACACACGCCGCACAAAGCUCCCUCGCCUCCCGGAGCUGGUUUCCUCUUACAGGCUCCCCUUAGAGCUGCUUGGGGCUGUGGCAAUGCCUGCGGCUCCCCGUGUAGCUCUGUGUCUCCCUGCAGUGCUGCGAGCUGUGAAUCUGCCUUCUCUUCCCUUCCUGCAAAGGUCAAGCCGCCUCCUUCUCUCGAAGGGCCGCAGUUCAGUUCUGGCCUGCAGAGCUUCCGCCCUGCAGCUUGAAUAUGGGAAUGAGGUGGGCAUCAUGCAAGGGAGCAGUCAGACUCAAGCCAGGGGGCAUAGACAAAUGGGUGUUCAAUUCAGGGAGGGAAACACGGAGGGCAACCCUCAGAAAGCAGUGCAGGAUUUGCAGCUAAAGACUCAAGAGAGGGAGAGAAAGCCAGGAAAACGCUAUGAGGUCGUGAGACCUGAAGUGUAGGUCUUUCUAUCCUCGCACCACCACCACCCCUGACGGGUUACCCUACGGGAAGGCCCGAAGAGGCUUCAGGCGUCUGCACAUCGUCCCAUGUGGUUCCCAGGACCAUGAACUUCCCGUGAGGCUGCAUUUUACUCCCAGCAGGAGUCAGAAGCAUGGAAUUCAGUGGCCACAGGAGCUCAAGGCCGCUGCAGCCCUUUCAAAGACGAACCCCGGACAGGCCUUUCUGCCACCCCAGCCCCAGAGAGGCUAUGAGGCUCUGCAAUCAGCAGAAAGAAUGAAGUGGAGAAAAAUGAGAGGAAACGCCAUUAAACUUGCUUCCUGUAAAGAGCACGACCCACCGUUUUCUUUGAACUGUACCUAAAAAGUCAGGAGAGAACUCGUUAACUUUUGUUUGGUUUAACAUUGCCAGCUUCAAGUCAACCGUAGGCCCCCAGAAGAUUUUGUAAAAUAUUUAAUCUAGCUCAGACAAUUUCCUGCAGGACCUAACUGGACCACCCCACUUACUGAGCUGCUGCCAAAAAGGAUGCUUGACUGCAGACCGGCAACCAGAGGCCUUCCAGCCGCCUGGCUGGCCUUGACCUCUGCUCGAUGCGCCAAGAAGACCCUUCCUGGAAUCCAGAGAGACCAAGACCUGGGUAACUCUGGAGGUCUAACUCCAUGAGGAAGAAGCCCCCAAAAUGGAGUUAAAGACGCUUUUCACACCACCGAUUGUUGUCUGCGUGACCUUCUGCGGCCCUAGCCCUCUCUGAACCCUCUAAAAUGGGCAUGAGGAUGUCUGUCUCACCUUCUUCCGGGUGUUACGCAUUUUGAAGUUUGGGCACAAUGGGAAAGGCUGACGCUGGACGUCCUCCAGCGCCCUCCACUCCCCCCCCCACCCUUCACUGUUUUCUUCGACAUUAUCUCCCUAGAGAACACAGCAAGCGGGAGUGGGAUCCUUCGACUCCGCUGAGUCUCAACUCCUUCCAAACGUGAGGCUGACGGAGAGAACUCCUGCUCUGCCCAGUUUCCAUUCCCGCCUCCAGAAUAACGAGCCGAAAACAUGUGUACUGUAAAUAAAGCCUGUCUAAAUAAA